UGUUGGUGAGGCCCGGAGGGGCCUUAGGGGCGCAGGAGGACAAGGCCGUGCCCUCGGGCCGCGGUUUGCGCUGACCCCGUUGCUCCUUCUCCAGCCGCACGCACCUUCCCGCUGGGAGGCAGCAGACCUAUUUUGGUCAGAGAAUAGUGGGGCCCUAGUGAUGCUGAUGAAGGAGGCUCAAGGUUUGCACUUCAAGGAAAUAAGGCCUUGCUUAUGAGUAGUGGAGGAGAUAAAGAUCCUACAGUCCUUUCAUGAUGCCCAUGCCUCCUACUCAGCAAUAGAAAGGAAGUAACUGCUGACACACAUGCAUCGGGGUGAGUCUCAGAAGCACCCAAGGUGCUCAAGUGAAAGCAGCCAGACACAAAAGGAGUGACUAGAGACAGAAAUCAGGAAAAUAGAAGAUGUCUUGGCUACGGCUGGAUCGAGUAGAACUGCCCAGAACGCUCAGGAAUUGAGGCCAGGGCAAUCAUGCUUGGUAAGAUUUACCUGGAAGGCCUUCUCCAGCCUCUGAGAUCACAGUCUC